rnacentral:rRNA from 1 species
UACGGGGGGGGCAAGCGUUGUUCGGAAUUACUGGGCGUAAAGGGCUCGUAGGCGGCCAACUAAGUCAGACGUGAAAUCCCUCAGCUUAACUGGGGAACUGCGACCGAUACUGGUUGGCUUGAAUUCGGGAGAGGGAUGCGGAAUUCCAGGUGUAGCGGUGAAAUGCGUAGAUAUCUGGAGGAACACCGGUGGCGAAGGCGGCAUCCUGGACCGGCAUUGACGCUGAGGCGCGAAAGCCAGGGGAGCAAACGGG